UAACAGACAGCAGUGUAAGGGUUAAUAACAGCAGUGUAAGGGUUAAUAACAGACAGCAGUGUAAGGGGUUAACAACAGCAGUGUAAGGGUUAAUAACAGACAGCAGUGUAAGGGUUAAUAACAGACAGCAGUGUAAGGGUUAAUAACAGCAGUGUAAGGGUUAAUAACAGACAGCAGUGUAAGGGUUAAUAACAGACAGCAGUGUAAGGGUUAAUAACAGACAGCAGUGUAAGGGUUAACAGACAGCAGUGUAAGGGUUAAUAACAGACAGCAGUGUAAGGGUUAAUAACAGACAGCAGUGUAAGGG
rnacentral:lncRNA from 1 species